AUCCUGGCUCAGGACGAACGCUGGCGGCGUGCCUAAUACAUGCAAGUCGAACGAAACUUUCUUACACCGAAUGCUUGCAUUCACCGUAAGAAGUUGAGUGGCGGACGGGUGAGUAACACGUGGGUAACCUGCCUAAAAGAAGGGGAUAACACUUGGAAACAGGUGCUAAUACCGUAUAUCUCUAAGGAUCGCAUGAUCCUUAGAUGAAAGAUGGUUCUGCUAUCGCUUUUAGAUGGACCCGCGGCGUAUUAACUAGUUGGUGGGGUAACGGCCUACCAAGGUGAUGAUACGUAGCCGAACUGAGAGGUUGAUCGGCCACAUUGGGACUGAGACACGGCCCAAACUCCUACGGGAGGCAGCAGUAGGGAAUCUUCCACAAUGGACGCAAGUCUGAUGGAGCAACGCCGCGUGAGUGAAGAAGGUCUUCGGAUCGUAAAACUCUGUUGUUAGAGAAGAACACGAGUGAGAGUAACUGUUCAUUCGAUGACGGUAUCUAACCAGCAAGUCACGGCUAACUACGUGCCAGCAGCCGCGGUAAUACGUAGGUGGCAAGCGUUGUCCGGAUUUAUUGGGCGUAAAGGGAACGCAGGCGGUCUUUUAAGUCUGAUGUGAAAGCCUUCGGCUUAACCGGAGUAGUGCAUUGGAAACUGGAAGACUUGAGUGCAGAAGAGGAGAGUGGAACUCCAUGUGUAGCGGUGAAAUGCGUAGAUAUAUGGAAGAACACCAGUGGCGAAAGCGGCUCUCUGGUCUGUAACUGACGCUGAGGUUCGAAAGCGUGGGUAGCAAACAGGAUUAGAUACCCUGGUAGUCCACGCCGUAAACGAUGAAUGCUAGGUGUUGGAGGGUUUCCGCCCUUCAGUGCCGCAGCUAACGCAAUAAGCAUUCCGCCUGGGGAGUACGACCGCAAGGUUGAAACUCAAAGGAAUUGACGGGGGCCCGCACAAGCGGUGGAGCAUGUGGUUUAAUUCGAAGCAACGCGAAGAACCUUACCAGGUCUUGACAUCCUUUGACCACCUAAGAGAUUAGGCUUUCCCUUCGGGGACAAAGUGACAGGUGGUGCAUGGUUGUCGUCAGCUCGUGUCGUGAGAUGUUGGGUUAAGUCCCGCAACGAGCGCAACCCUUGUUGUCAGUUGCCAGCAUUAAGUUGGGCACUCUGGCGAGACUGCCGGUGACAAACCGGAGGAAGGUGGGGACGACGUCAAGUCAUCAUGCCCCUUAUGACCUGGGCUACACACGUGCUACAAUGGACGGUACAACGAGUCGCGAGACCGCGAGGUUUAGCUAAUCUCUUAAAGCCGUUCUCAGUUCGGAUUGUAGGCUGCAACUCGCCUACAUGAAGUCGGAAUCGCUAGUAAUCGCGAAUCAGCAUGUCGCGGUGAAUACGUUCCCGGGCCUUGUACACACCGCCCGUCACACCAUGAGAGUUUGUAACACCCAAAGCCGGUGGGGUAACCGCAAGGAGCCAGCCGUCUAAGGUGGGACAGAUGAUUGGGGUGAAGUCGUAACAAGGUAGCCGUAGGAGAACCUGCGGCUGGAUCACCU
rnacentral:rRNA from 2 species